GCCUGGUUGGCUUAGUAGGGAAAGCAUGUGACUCUUAAUCUCAGGGUUGUGGGUUCAAGCCCCACUCUGGUCA
rnacentral:tRNA from 1 species